rnacentral:rRNA from 1 species
UAGCGAAGGGGGCUAGCGUUGUUCGGAAUUACUGGGCGUAAAGCGCACGUAGGCGGACAUUUAAGUCAGGGGUGAAAUCCCAGAGCUCAACUCUGGAACUGCCUUUGAUACUGGGUGUCUUGAGUAUGGAAGAGGUGAGUGGAAUUCCGAGUGAUAGAGGUGAAAUUCGUAGAUAUUCGGAGGAACACCAGUGGCGAAGGCGGCUCACUGGUCCAUUACUGACGCUGAGGUGACGAAAGGCGUGGGGAGCAAACAGG